rnacentral:rRNA from 1 species
GACGAACGCUGGCGGCGUGCUUAACACAUGCAAGUCGAACGGUAAGGCCCUUCGGGGUACACGAGUGGCGAACGGGUGAGUAACACGUGGGUGAUCUGCCCUGCACUUCGGGAUAAGCCUGGGAAACUGGGUCUCAUACCGGAUAGGACCACUGCCUGCAUGGGUGGGGGUGGAAAGCUUUUGCGGUGUGGGAUGGGCGCGCGGCCUAUCAGCUUGUUGGUGGGGUGAUGGCCUACCAAGGCGACGACGGGUAGCCGGCCUGAGAGGGUGACCGGCCACACUGGGACUGAGAUACGGCCCAGACUACUACGGGAGGCAGCAGUGGGGAAUAUUGCACAAUGGGCGCAAGCCUGAUGCAGCGACGCCGCGUGAGGGAUGACGGCCUUCGGGUUGUAAACCUCUUUCAGCACCGACGAAGCGCAAGUGACGGUAGGUGCAGAAGAAGGACCGGCCAACUACGUGCCAGCCGCCGCGGUAA